rnacentral:rRNA from 1 species
AUUGAACGCUGGCGGCAUGCCUUACACAUGCAAGUCGAACGGCAGCACGGGAGCAAUCCUGGUGGCGAGUGGCGAACGGGUGAGUAAUAUAUCGGAACGUGCCCAGUCGUGGGGAUAACGUAGCGAAAGCUACGCUAAUACCGCAUACGAUCUACGGAUGAAAGCGGGGGAUCGCAAGACCUCGCGCGAUUGGAGCGGCCGAUAUCAGAUUAGCUAGUUGGUGAGGUAAUGGCUCACCAAGGCGACGAUCCGUAACUGGUCUGAGAGGAUGAUCAGUCACACUGGAACUGAGACACGGUCCAGACUCCUACGGGAGGCAGCAGUGGGGAAUAUUGGACAAUGGGCGAAGACCUGAUCCAGCCAUGCCGCGUGUGUGAAGAAGGUCUUCGGAUUGUAAAGUCACUUUAAGUUGGGAGGAAGGGUAGUAACCUAAUACGUUGCUACUUUGACGUUACCGACAGAAUAAG